AAAUGAGCAGGUUCCCGUUCAUCACGGGGGUUUUCAUUCAUCACCUGUGUGUUCAGUGGGUUUCUGUGCCAUUAAAAAGGGUAAUGAGGUCAUAGAACGUCGUUGACCGCUACGGAGGUAUAAACAGGUUUUAAGAAGGAGGUCACGAAGUCCUCCAGGCUUCUUGGAAGGCCCGGCGCCCUUUGGACCUGCGGCUGAUAAAGGAGCGGCCUGCCGGGCGGAGGAAUGAUGAAGCGGCGGGGUUUGAAUGAGGGUCGACGGUAGACCUCAACACUUCUGCGUGCUCCAUCUGAACGAUACAAACAUGUCACGAAAGUCUUGGAUUGAAGAGACCCUCUUCAAGAGGGAGUGUGUGAGGUUCAUCCCUUCUUCAUGGGACCAACACAGAUGUGUUCCAGUAUGUCAAAUAUGCCAAAACUUGAUCAGGUGUUGUUGUGGUCGUCUCGUGGGGGAACAUUCCUGGCAGGAGUCUGUUCCUCCAUUAUCUUUCUAUGCUGCUUCUGGACAAGAGAUGGAAGAGGACUGGUCCAUCGAGGUCCAUACUAGAGCUAGUCCCACCAAUGCUUAUGGGACCAUAGAUUUUGAAGACACAGCCACACGAGUGUGUCGAGCCAAGUACGUUCGUGUGGCUGUGGACUCCAAGCCAGAAGCUUUACUGCAGCUGAUGCUGAGGGAAUGGCAGAUGGAGAGACCCAAACUGCUGCUGACGGUCCAGGGAGGCACAGAAAACUUUGUCUUGCCCCCAAAAGUUAUGCAAGCCUUUAGCAAGGGGCUGAUUACUGCUGCCCUUAGCACAGGGGGAUGGAUACUCACCGAUGGGAUUAAUACGGGUGUGUCUAAGUAUGUAGGGGAGGCAGUAAAAGUGUUCGGAGGCCACGACCUGAGAAAGAGAAACACAGUUGGGAUCACGCCAUGGGGAGUGAUUGACAACAACAUGGACCUCAUAGGCAGAGAUGUGUUCAAGCCCUACCAGCCGCUGGGAAAUCCCUUGAGCAAGAGAGUCUGUCUCAACGGUUUUCAUUCCCAUUUUCUGUUGGUGGAUGAUGGAACACUUGGAAAAUAUGGCUGCCAGCAGGGCCUUCGGAGGAAGCUGGAAAAACACAUCCAGCAGCAGAAAAUACAUCCUCGAUUGAACCAAAGAGUCCCUAUGGUGUGUGUUGUGGUGGAGGGAGGUCCCUCCAUUGUUUUCACUGUGCUGGAUUAUGUGAGCAGUGCACCCCCUGUGCCGGUGUUUGUGUUUGAAGGAUCUGGAAGAGCUGCAGACCUGCUCUCUUUUUUACACAAGCAGACUGCUAACGACAGGCAGUUGGAUGCUGACAUUAUAGAGGACUUCCUCACCAGAAUUGGAGAUGAAUUUGGAGUGGAGAGAACUGAGGCGAUUCGUCUUUACUCCGUCCUCCAGCAGUGUAUGGAACACAGAGAGUCUAUUACAAUUUUUGACUCUGAGUCAGACGAUCAGAUGGCACCAGAUGCAGCAAUUUUAAGUACUACACUCAAAGGUACUAAAGCCAGUCCAGCAGAGCAGCUAAAUAUGGCUUUAGCUUGGGACCAAGCAGACAUUGCACAGAAAGACAUCCUGGUGUAUGGACAGCACUGGCCGGUUGGUUCCUUAGAAAAAGCCAUGCUUGAUGCUCUGGUGUUGGACCGUGUGAGUUUCGUCAAAAUGUUGAUAGACAACGGCAUGACCAUGAGCCACUUCCUCACUGUGGAGCGUCUGGAGGAGCUUUACAACACUCCACUGGGCCAGACUCAGCGCUUCCUGCAGCACCUUGUUGAAGAUGCAAAACAGACUUCUCUUCCAGCCGGUUACCGUCUUUCUCUUAUUGACGUUGGCCUGGUGAUCGAAUACCUGAUAGGAGGAGCGUAUCGCAGCACCUACACACGAAAACACUUCAGAGCUGCGUACAGCCGCAUGCAGGACAAUGACAGAAGAUGGGACAGUUCUGGCUCUUUUUCUAAACAAAGGCUGGGACUGAAAUCAAACUCCCGGAGGAAUGGAAGUCGUCAGGACUUGCAAUUCUUUAGAACUGCUCAGCCCUACAAGCGCAAGGAUCAAGAUGCGACCCCUGGGAGCACUCGAGACACGAGGUUGAGCUCAAGCCUUGGUGACGCUUCACUGCAAGUCCUUUUCAACUUCAACGACCUCUUUGUCUGGGCGGUCCUUCAGCAGCGGCAGCAGAUGGCACUAUUCCUGUGGCAACACGGUGAAGAGGCGCUGGCACGAGCCAUCGUGGGCUGCAAGCUUUACCGCUCCAUGGCCUUUGAAGCACGGCUGAGCAGCAUGUAUGACAACAUUGCUGAAAAAUUCAAGGCAGACUCACUUGAGUUUGGUAAGCUGGCCGUGGAUGUGUUGGAUUGUGCGUUUCGACAGAACGGACAAAUGGCAAUGAAACUGUUGACCUCAGAGAUGGAAGCAUGGAGCCACUUCACGUGUCUGCAGUUGGCAGUGUCCUCGUGUCACAGACCGUUUGUCUCACACUCAUGCACUCAGACCCUCCUCACUGAUCUCUGGACGGGCCCCCUUAACAUGAGAAAGAACUCUUUUAUGAAGAUAAUCUUGAGCCUUCUUCUGCCCCCUGCCAUCUUGCUGCUGGAGUUUAAAAGCGAAGCGGAAAUGUGUCAUGUACCACAGACCCAUGAGGCAAUGCUGUUUGGGCUUGACUCUGUCAAGUCAACUCCAGUUCCUCAGGCUACUGCUGACCUGAGUCAUCAUGAUGCAGAGCGGGGCCUCCCUUUUUAUGAGAAAUGUCUUGGUCCUCUGUCAAGAUCUGUUUCCACUAUAACGGUGCAGUGGCUCCCCUGGAUCACAAGAAUCUAUGAUUUCUACACAGCUCCUGUUGUCAAGUUUUGGUUUCACACAAUGUCGUACUUGUGUUUUUUGAUGUUAUUCUCCUUUGUCGUCUUGGUGAAAAUGGAAAAUCGACCCAGUAUUCAAGAGUGGUUGGUCAUUUUCUACAUUGUGUCUACUGCAGUGGAGAAAACCAGAGAAGUUUUGAUGUCUGAGCCGAGAAAGUUGAGGCAGAAGCUGAAGAUUUGGUUCUCAGAGUACUGGAACAUAUCUGAUUUUGUCGCCAUCCUUCUUUUCCUGGUGGGGUUUGCAUUGCGCUGGCACCCUGAUCCGUACAGAACAGCAGGGCGCAUCGCUUACUGCCUGGACAUCAUUUUCUGGUUCAUCAGGGUGUUGGAUCUGCUGGCUGUCAAUCAGCACGCUGGCCCUUACCUCACUAUAAUCACUAAGAUGACCAGUAAUAUGUUCUUCAUCGUGGUGAUGAUGGCUAUAGUGCUGCUGAGCUUUGGAGUCUCCAGAAAGGCCAUCCUGUCACCAGACGAGGAGCCAUCGUGGAGCCUGGCUCGAGACAUAGUCUUCCAGCCUUACUGGAUGAUCUUUGGAGAGGUCUACGCAGGCGAGAUCGAUCCAUGUGCUGGUGGUAAUUCAUGCCCCCCUGCGUCCUUUCUUACAUCAUUUCUCCAGGCCGUCUAUAUGUUUGUCCAGUAUAUCAUCAUGGUCAAUGUUCUCAUAGCCUUUUUUAACAACAUCUACUUUGAUAUGGCUUCAACAUCGAACAAGCUAUGGAAGUAUAACCGCUACCGCUAUAUAAUGACCUAUCAGGAGAGGCCAUGGCUGCCCCCGCCUCUAAUCCUCCUCAGUCACAUGGCUCUUGCUCUGCGAUGCAUCUACUGGAAGUUAUUGGGAGACACUGAGCCGGGAGAGAGAGGCUCAGGGCUUAAACUUCAUUUAGGCCACGAGGAUCGAAAGAAGCUUCAUGAAUUUGAGAAAAAAUGUGUUGAGGUGUACUUCCACGAGAAAGACAGAGAUGUCCAAAGUAAUCAAAUCAAGAAGAUCAGAGCCAUAGCUGAAAGAGCAGAAGAAAUGAGUGUGAUGGUGGGAGAGAUCUCCGAGAAGGUCAACUGUAUUCAGCACAGCCUGUCAGAGUUAGACUGUCAGAUGGGUCAACUGCAGGACCUUUCUGCUCUGGCCGUAGACACGCUCACUCUUCUCACUGCCUCUGACAGCCUCCAAAAGGAAGAGGCACGCUUGGCUCAGUGUCGCAUCAACCCGACUUUGCAGCACGUCCUCCCUCACAGCUGGACUCUCCCGCACAGGAGCAACACCGACUGCGAUGUCCCAAGUUUUCGCCGAUUGAAUACCAAAUCAUGCAAGAGUACACCCCCAUCUUUGUUAAAAGGCUCUGUCGCAGCAGCAAGUAGAGUCGCAUCGGUGGAGCGUCACAUGGGAUCCAAGGGAAGCAAGGAAGCAAAGCACAAAGACACUGAGAGGAAAGAAGAAACAACAACAGAGGAUUCUCAUUCUGGAACUGCUGACUAUCCCAUUGAAAAGUUGUUGGGAGUCCCAAAACCUUCAUCGCAUGCCUCUGUUACUCUUUUCAACAAUGGAAAAAUUAUUCAUGAAGGUGAGAAGCAUCAGACUCCAUCUGAGUCCUGUGGAUCAUCCCGCUGCGAGAGUCCUCUUUCUCCAAGGGCUGUGGGUCCACCAUCUCAAAGGUCCUGGGCAUGUGACCCAUAUUUGUAUCCAAGUGUGGCGGAUACUUCCAUGGAAGAGCAGGAAGAGUGUGACAGCGAAGAGCAAGAUGACACACCGGAACACUUGACUGACUCAGAAGGCGAUAGAUUGCCAUCCUUUGUGUCAAAACGCUCCAGCCAGUGGCGAAGACCUUCGAUAGCUCCUCGGUGGCUCUAUAUGCCCAAAGAGCGGUUCUAUAGCUUUAGUAGGUCUCUGUCAUCCAGCAUGGAGAAUAUAACUUUCUCUGGAGCACCUCUUAGCCCAACAAGAGGGUCAUUUUUUACUCUUAAUGAAGCAGUAAGCAAGGAGAGGAUAAGAGGCAGGAGGGGCUUUAGGGAUGAUACGUGCCUGCCAUGCAGCAGGAGCCAAGAGUGGUCAAAAUCCUCUGACUCCAUCCAGGUCUCUGGCAGCAGAGAAAAGGGCCAAAGCAGAAAGACGGUAAAGAUAAAAGAGAGCUCUUUUGAUCCGGAAGGUGUUCAACCUCAUCUGCCUGAUGCAUCAUGGAGAAGGCGUUCUAAGUUUAUAGGAGAACCCACCUGUUGGUCAGCUUCAACCAGCCUCAGUCAGCUCAACUUUGAUUCACCAGACUUGAUGAAACAAAUGAUUUCACAUCAGGAGGUUUGGAGUCCCACGCAUUCCGCCUGGAACAGCAGGGCUAAAUCCAUGAGUCGAAGAUCCUCUUUACAGAGUGGCAUUCCACUUGAAGUCAAAAGUCCAUCUUUCCAGUCCAGUGAAAAUUUGUACCCACACUAUUCAGCCACAGAGAGAAACAAUCUGAUGAGACUGGCUCAAACCAUCCCCUUCACACCCGUUUCCAUUUUUGGAGGUGAAGAGGUGAGCAUCUACACCCUGGAGGAAGCCCCCUGUGACGCAGACGCUGACUCUCCUUCAGCCUCCGUUUGGUCUUCCAAAGGCCUAUCUGCUAUACUACAGCCCCUCUCCAGUGAGGAAGGCUCUCUGGAUGGGGGUCUCCGGCAGGGCUGCAGGAUGCUUUGUACCUGGGCAGAACAAGAUAUACUCAAACCUGGAUUAAUAUAUGUGGCGAAAGCCUUUAAGUCCGAAGUGGUGCAUGUUUGGCAGAAGCACUUCCCUGGUAGCACUGCACUACAGCUUUGUUUAAGGGAGAUCCAGCAGCAAAGAGCUGCACAGAAGAUGAUGCAAGUUUUCAACCAGAUCAAACCUCAUGACAUGCAUCCUACACCACGAUUUUUAGAUGUAUCACUGGUCCUCUGGCAUUCCAAUGGACAAUGGCUGACCAUUGAGAGAAACAUGACUGGUGACUUCAGGAAAUACAAUAACAACACCGGGGAAGAGAUCACCCCUUGCUCUUCACUGGAGGACAUGCUGCUUGCUUUCUCCCACUGGACCUAUGAGCACUCAUGCAAAGAGCUCCUGGUGCUGGAUAUUCAAGGAGUUGGAGAGGAACUGACUGAUCCAACGGUCAUCAUGGCAGACGAUCAAAGUGGUGGCAAAGGGGAUUUGCUUUUUGGCCCCGAUAACCUUGGAGUUGCUGCCAUCAAUGGCUUCCUGCAGAAACACACUUGUAAUCUCUGCUGCCAUAGACUUGGCUUAAAAGGUCAGCCAUGUUUAUUCAUGAAAAAGGACACAGGAAAGAAGUAACAAGAAUUAACAUUAAAUAUUUGCUUUCUUUUUUUGUUGGCUGACCUGCAGAUUAUAGGAGUUUUUUUCCUCAACGCACACAGAUUUUUGUGUGCACGUGUGCAUAUGUUUUUGUAUGUCACCUCCAUGUCGUCACUCAGGAGGCCAACUUGGCAAAGAGAGAAAUCCCCAAUAACUUCAGAUGAAGAGAGCACACACCAGCCGCCAGCUAAUUAAGCUACGCGCCUUCGUAUAUUUCUAAAACAACAGUCAUGUUUGAGGCAGGGGGGUGGGCCUUGCUUUGUGCGUUUGUGCUGCACGGCCUUUGAUUACGUAUUAAUCAUGUCUUUGUGCUGGCAAUGUGCUGCUGAGACAUUAGCUUUGAUUAGCUAUUAAUUAAUGUCCCUGGGUAGACAUGAUACCAUCUAGAGGAUAACUGUGCUGAGAGAAACUGUGCUCAAAAACAAACAAGCUCAGCAAACAAACACAAACAGUCAAACGUAGUUGUUUUGAUUAUUUUCAAAGGUGCGUUGGUUCCUUUUCCUUUUCUUGUGUCCUCUCCAAGAUUUCUCUAACAAAUCAAACCAAAUUAUUCAUGCUGGAGACACGGACUUCCUCCCAGUCCUAUUUGAGGACUCGUCCAACCAGCAGCGAGAUCAGCAGUGAAGCAGGCAGAAUAUCAAGGAAAGAGGAAUAAGCCAACAAUAAAACAAGGAUGUACCAGGAGAAGUAGGGAGAAAAAUCAAUUUUAAUGCAGGCUUUUUUUUUUUGGUCUUUGGAUUAAACUUUGUGAUUCAAAAACAAAAAAAUUACAUUUCAGGUAUUACAUUUAUUUUGUUUUAAUACAGACUAAGAAUGAAAGCCCUUUUCAAAACAUUCAAACUGGUACGUCGUCUUUGAAUUCACAACUUACUUAUUAUAUUGUAAGUCCAUCCAGCGCAGUAACUUCUGUGCUACAAUAAAACAGGAAUAUUCAACAGUCAGAACACUAGGAUCAGAUGUUUAUUCAUAAUGAAUAUAAAACAAAAUUGCCUUAAAUAAUAAAAGUCCUGUUUAGUGUUGUUGAUCCUUUACACUUUAGCUACAGUUGAUUAGCUAAAGUCUGGCGCACUUGCUUUAAUCUUUCUCACAUAUUCAGUUUCAGGUUGAAUGGCUAACCAUGAAUGGUUAACUUUUGAUCCGUAACGCCUAAUGAAAAAAAAAACAAAAUUACAUUUAGCACUCCUUACCACAAACCAGAGUUAAAGCUGGGAAUGAGUUCUACAAGUUAAAAACACUUGUACACUUUUUCCUUCUACCACCAGAUUUAUUGCCUUAGAAUGGGGAUAUCAGGAAAAUAGUUUUUUUUCUUUUUUCUUGAUGGUAUUGAUAUAUAGUUCUGUCUGUAUUGGUUAUUUUACCUUGUAAAGAAGUGAAAAAAAGAUCAAACAUAUUUUAUUAAGUUAUUUAUCCUUAUUUCUUAGCUUUUAUGUCAUAACAAAAAGGUACCGGUAGUUGUACUUUUUAGAACUUUUCAAAAUCAGAAGAUUCAGUCUGAGUAUUUAUAAUCAAAUAUAGAUUAAGUUUACAGUCUAAUUAGGGCUUAUGGAAAUGAUUGUUCAUCUUUUAUUAACAGUCCCAAAAAAAAGAAAGUAAACAUGAAGUGCACUCAUAAAAUUUCUUUUAUUUUUUUCUUCCCACAACAAAAUGUCUACAAAAGCAAUAAAAUAUAGAAUUUAACAAAAAUGACUUCAGACCUUCACAUCAUAUAUACAUCUAACAGGAGGACUUACUAAGGCCCCUGCAAAGCUCUGAACUUCAACCAAGUCUUAUCAAUCAGUAUUAGGUGUUUCUGACUCUACUUGCAUACAAACACUCCUGAGCAGCAAUAAAAAGCUACAGCAGAGGUUGUGGCUUUAAAUCCAAGUUGGAGUUCAGAAUACUGCAGAGUCCCCAGAAAAUCAGAAAACCACAAAAUGAAAAAAAAUAAAUGCAUUGUAAUCCAAACACAUGUUCAUUGGAGUUCUCCUUUUAUGAUUGGUUUUCUCUUGUAAACUCACAGUAAAGCAUCUGUGCCCACUUAUCCAAUCCUUUCCCUCCUCACUAGCUAUGGCACUUAAAAAAACAAAGACAAUGUUUUUUUCUUCUUUUUUGAAUAAAUGUUUUUUUGUCUUAUCA